rnacentral:rRNA from 1 species
GACGAACGCUGGCGGCGUGCUUAACACAUGCAAGUCGAGCGGGAUCCAACCGGUGGCAACACCGGGGAAGAUCUAGCGGCGAACGAGUGAGUAACACGUGAGCAACCUGCCCCGAAGACUGGGAUAACACCGGGAAACCGGUGCUAAUACCGGAUGUCGUCAUUAGGCCGCAUGACCUGAUGAUGAAAGGAUUCAUCGCUUCGGGAGGGGCUCGCGGGCUAUCAGCNGUUGGUGGGGUAACGGCCUACCAAGGCGACGACGGCUAGCUGGUCUGAGAGGACGACCAGCCACACUGGGACUGAGACACGGCCCAGACUCCUACGGGAGGCAGCAGUGGGGAAUCUUGCGCAAUGGGCGAAAGCCUGACGCAGCAACGCCGCGUGGGGGAUGAAUGCCUUCGGGUU